CAGGAGUACCACAAGGAGACAAACAAGAGUGCCUUCCGGCCUGAGUUCCAUCUUUAUAUUUUGCUGCUGGAUUCCUGGGGGAAAAUGUCUAUCUUCAGCCUAAGCAAGGCACUGACCUUUCCUUUUAACAGGUUUGCCUUGCUGCAAGAAACACCAUCUGCUCCUCAGUGUUACAGGAUCCACUGUGGAAACAAGAAAGACAUUUCCUAAGCCAGCAAACUCCUAGGAAGGAGUAUUCUCACUUGCAUAUUCUGCUUCCAUGGAGCAUCGUGUAGUGGUUACAAGUGUGGACUCUGAAGUCGAACUGCCUACACUCAAAUCUUGGCUCUGCCACUCACUGGCUGUGUGCCUUUAGGAACAACAAUAGACACACCCAGAUUGGAGAACAGUCCACAGGAUCCCUGGUCAACGCUCCUUAAGACUGUCAAGGCCAUGGACAACAAAGAAAGACUGGUAAACCGUCACAAACUAAAGAAGACAGGGUGGAUAUGACAAUGAGAUGCACUGUGGUGUUCCAGAUUGGUCCUGGAACAAGAAAGAAACACCAAUUGAAAAGCUGAUGAAAUCCAAGUCAAGUCUGGAGCCAGGAGUGAUGUACUCAUGUCGGUUUCUUGGUUGUAACCAACAUAUCAUGAUAAUGUUAGGUUUUAACAAUGGGGGAAAUUUGGUGAGAGGUAUACUACUGUUGCAACGUUUCUGUAAAUCUAAAAAUAUUCCAAAAUAAAAAGUUUAUUUAAAAAGUA